GACGAACGCUGGCGGCGUGCUUAACACAUGCAAGUCGUGCGGUAAGGCCCUUUCGGGGGUACACGAGCGGCGAACGGGUGAGUAACACGUGAGCAACCUGCCCUUCACUUUGGGAUAACUGCCGGAAACGGUGGCUAAUACCGGAUAUGACUUCCUCACGCAUGUGGGGUGGUGGAAAGCCUUCGGGUGGUGGGGGAUGGGCUCGCGGUCUAUCAGCUUGUUGGUGGGGUGAUGGCCUACCAAGGCUUCGACGGGUAGCCGGCCUGAGAGGGUGACCGGCCACACUGGGACUGAGACACGGCCCAGACUCCUACGGGAGGCAGCAGUGGGGAAGAGUGGACAAUGGGCGAAAGCCUGAUCCAGCAACGCCGCGUGAGGGAUGACGACCUUCGGGUUGUAAACCUCUUUCGCCUGCGACGAAGCGAGAGUGACGGUAGCAGGUAAAGAAGCACCGGCCAACUACGUG
rnacentral:rRNA from 1 species